rnacentral:rRNA from 1 species
UUCGUAGGGUCCAAGCGUUGUCCGGAUUUAUUGGGCGUAAAGAGCUCGUAGGCGGCUCGGUAAGUCGGAUGUGAAAACUCGGGGCUCAACCCCGAGACGCCAUCCGAUACUGCUGUGGCUUGAGUCUGGUAGGGGAGAUCGGAAUUCCUGGUGUAGCGGUGAAAUGCGCAGAUAUCAGGAGGAACACCGGUGGCGAAGGCGGAUCUCUGGGCCAGUACUGACGCUGAGGAGCGAAAGCGUGGGUAGCAAACAGG